ensembl:lncRNA
CCAGGAGGGAGGACGGAUAAACGGCGCUGACGGUACCGGAUUUGUUACCCGAAGGAGGGAGGGAUGCUACGGUGAUUUCCUCUCUUUUUCUCUUCCAACACCCACCUCCUCACCAUCCCCUCCACUGCUCUCCAUCACUUCAGUCUCGGAACCUCAUCAAGACGCAUGACUGCUCUUUCAUUUUUGUCCUGUCUUUUCAGUUUAUCUUUAAAUUCGCUUGGCUGGUUGUUUUUUUAUUUUUUUAUUUUUUGCCACUGAGCUCCAGCGGGAAACCCACUUGGCUCGGCUUUGAUUUCUACCCUCUCAUCUCCAAGCGCACGUAAACAUAGAAAAACUGGGCUUUUAAUCAGAGGAUGUGUUGGACAUUUGGUAAAAGAAGCAAUACUACUUAAGUCAAGUGGCUGAUCUCUACUGGCUUGUAUGUAUUGAGGACACUUGGGUGAACGAGCUGCGCACGGAGUCUCACUUCCAAGAUCUCUGUCACUUAACGGGAAACAAAGCCUUUGUAUUCAACACAGUGAUGAGCUAAAGACAUUUUGCAGUUUUGCCUCCAUCUCUUUCAGUAAUGAGCCCCAUCCUUCAAGAUUAGUAGAAAAUUAUUCAAAAAUGUUUAGCUUGUAUUUGCCUUCAGCAGCUUGUUAAAGAGGAC